rnacentral:tRNA from 1 species
UCCUUGGUGGCUCAGUGGUAAAGAAUCUGCUUGCCUAUACAGGAGACUCGGGUUCAAUUCCUGGCCCAGGAA